GACGGGUAGCCGGCCUGAGAGGGCGACCGGCCACACUGGGACUGAGACACGGCCCAGACUCCUACGGGAGGCAGCAGUGGGGAAUAUUGCACAAUGGGCGAAAGCCUGAUGCAGCGACGCCGCGUGAGGGAUGAAGGCCUUCGGGUUGUAAACCUCUUUCAGCAGGGAAGAAGCGCAAGUGACGGUACCUGCAGAAGAAGCGCCGGCUAACUACGUGCCAGCAGCCGCGGUAAUACGUAGGGCGCAAGCGUUGUCCGGAAUUAUUGGGCGUAAAGAGCUCGUAGGCGGUUUGUCGCGUCUGGUGUGAAAACUCGAGGCUCAACCUCGAGCUUGCAUCGGGUACGGGCAGACUAGAGUGCGGUAGGGGAGACUGGAAUUCCUGGUGUAGCGGUGGAAUGCGCAGAUAUCAGGAGGAACACCGAUGGCGAAGGCAGGUCUCUGGGCCGCAACUGACGCUGAGGAGCGAAAGCAUGGGGAGCGAACAGGAUUAGAUACCCUGGUAGUCCAUGCCGUAAACGUUGGGCACUAGGUGUGGGGCUCAUUCCACGAGUUCCGUGCCGCAGCAAACGCAUUAAGUGCCCCG
rnacentral:rRNA from 1 species